UCCCUCAUUCCUCCUAGUUAUUAGCGCAGUAGGAUUCUGCCUUGGUUUUAUUUACUGAGUUUGGCGAUUUGUGAGGAAAUGCCUUGCUAUUUGGAAAAACUAGAUGGUGGAUUAUGUUGUUAAGCUUGUUGUUUCUAUGAUUGAAGUUUCACUAGUCCGGAACUACUCUAUGUAUUCUGCUAGGAGAGUUGAUCUCAUGAUUAUGGGGCUUUCUACUUGUGUGAAGCUGAACUUAAUGUGGUUAUACUUGUGCUCCUAAGUUCUUAUACUAUGUGGUGAUUGAUCUAAACAUGAUGCAAGAUGAGGUGUUGGGGUGUUGAGGUGUUUACCUCUUGAUGUAGUGAAAGAAAGGAGGCUGCCCUUGCUGCUGCUUGAGAUCAGCUCCUCAGGCACCAAGCUUUCUACUCUCUCUAAACUUUGCUGAUUAUUUUGAGGAGUGUGGGAGGGAGUUCGAAUGUGGUGUGGGGAGGAUUUUUAUAGGCUGAUUGUGUACUUGUAAGCCUUAAUGAGGCUGUUGUAUCACUUGUUGUUAUGCUGCAGAAUAUCUCACCUUUAGUGAUCUCUUUGUCUCUCCUUCAUGGCUGCAAAACUUGUAUUUUUUUAUGGGUACCUAGUACUAGUUAUUAAAUGGGGUUGUUUGAUUUGCAGAGAGGCAGGGGAUGUUGUGCUAAGGCUGCAUUAUGAAGGGUGUGCAGGCUGGAAUCCCCCCCCCCCCCUUUUUGGCAAGUUCUUGGUCUUCAAGGAUAAAGAAGGGUGAGAGGAAAACUUAGCUUCCACCCAACUGCACCUCGAGUAGCUCGGAUUCACCGAAUGGCCGACGGGCUGCCCGAAACGGGCCCUAACUUGGGCCUGGAGAAACAAGGCCGAGAAGUGCUCUACAUUUUUAUAUACAUUUUUCUUUCCAUGUCUCUUUCUUUUUCUUUGGGGACUUGAUCCAUGUAACUUAUCUUAUUAAUUGUUGUUCACUAACCAAAAGUCUUGUUCUAUAUUUUGAAGUGUUUGUUGGUUA